GGAGGGACGGAGGGAAGAUGGCUGCAGAGACCGGAUAUUGGCGCUGCCUCCCCGAAUCCCGGACCUGCGCUGAGGAGGCGGUUCAUCUGUGGCCAGCGGUGCUUCGGGACCCGCGCUGGGGGAACCCUGGCGACGGGGCCUGGCCCUGCUAUAUGCGGGGGCCUCGGCUGGAGUGAGCGGCGUGGACGCCUCUUUCCUCCGGCUCUUCCCUUGUUGCUGCGAGAGCGAGAGGGCCGCGGGCGGCGGAGGCAGCGGGGCCGGGAUGGAGGACGUUAACUCUAACGUGAACGCGGACCAGGAGAGAGUUUCAUUCUGUCGCCCAGGCUGGAGUGCAAUGGCGCGAUCUCGGCUCACUGCAACCUCUGUCUCCCAGGUUCAGGAAAAUGGCUUUGUAAAGAAGCUUGAGCCUAAAUCUGGCUGGAUGACUUUUCUAGAAGUUACAGGAAAGAUCUGUGAAAUGCUCUUCUGUCCUGAAGCAAUACUGUUGACCAGAAAGGACACUCCAUAUUGUGAAACCGGCCUAAUUUUUCUGACUCUUACGAAAACGAUUGCCAACACAUACUUCUACUUUUAAAUAAACAACUUUGAUGAUGUAACUUGACCUUCCAGAGUUACAGAAAUUUUGUCCCUAUUUAAUGAAUAAAUUGUAUGUAUUUUUCUCUA